CAGAUAUUUGCCAAUGGCCUAUUAUGAACCGUACCCUAAAAGCUUCACAAAGGAAAAGUGAAUGGGCAGACGGGAAUUUGAUGUUUCUAAAAGACAUGUGUGACCUGAUGUGGAAUUAAUAUACCAAUAUGUGAAAUUUCCAGAAAGUAAGAGAAUGUAAGUGGGGAGUGAGGAGUAAAGGCUUGAAGGAGUUAUUGUGAUGAUCACACCUGGAAUUAAGGCACCAUGGAGGAGCUAACUGGAAUGAGACUGCAGAGAUACAAUGGGCACAAUACAGUAUGUAUUGUAAUGAAGGAGGAAGCACACGUUUAUUUUUGGAAAAACUACAAACUGGAAUCAAAUCCUGCUACAGGAGCAAGUUGCUGCUGCCAGGGUGAAGAAACGCUGCUGGGGUGAUGCCCAUAGCAACAUGACGCCGACAGGACAGGCAAGUCCCUUCCACCCUCCGGCUUCCCUUAGUGCCCCCUGUUGGCUGAGUCUAACAAAGCAGCUGGCAAGGUGGUUCUCAGAAUUCCUGCCCCAUCACAAAGCCCAGCACAGAAGGGUGGGUCUGAAGCGGGAUAUGUAGCUUGAUGAUUGGAACAAAGAACAGAGGCUAAGGAAAACAGUUUCGUUAUCUCCCCCAUAACAGUUCAGAAGAGUUUUAUGCUUAACAGAAGGAAAGACAGAUUUUAAUAUUGGCUUUGGAGGAAGGGACAUAAACAAGUUACGUUUCACUGAUUUCUGCAAAUUCGUGCAAAAUUAAAACUACAGAAUACAUUGGAAAGAAAUAUACCUUUAGAAUCUCCAAGUACAUAGAGAACUGCUUUACUUAGGCGUUACAUAAAUACAAACGCAUAUUAAUUACCCUGUUCAGUGAGGUAGAAAAAAGACAAUUAAUUGUUUAGCUGCUGAAGAUUCUUUAUUAUUAGGACAGAAGGACAAUUAGCUUUAAAAGCAUUGCUCAGAACAUGUAUUUUUUUUUCCCCAAAUGUUGCUUUUUUUUUUUUUUUUUUCCGAAACAGAACAAACCAAGCCCUUUCCCGCAAGAACUACAUUGUGAAGAAAGCAAAUGCUAAGUAGGAAUUAGAAAAAAGAAAACAUGCCUAAAGCCCAUGGGAAUGACAAUUCCUGGUUAACUGUAAAAAAUGGGGAAUGUAAUUGAGACAGAUGACCAGAUUUAGGAAAAAUAAACCUCACCAUUAAAAUCUAAUUAAAUAUUUACAUUUCAGCAUUAAGUUUCUUCUCAAAAGUUUUGUGAGCAGCGGGGUGACAGUGAAGAUUAUUGACUAUAAUUUGCCGAAGUUUUUUAAACUAAAUUAGUUUUGUGCAAUGUAUGGAAGGUUUACUCAGCCGCACUUAUCCAGCGGCUGCUUUAUUAUUCUUUUAAAGUGAAUCAUUUAUAACUGUUCUCAGAGAUCUUUUAUCAGCUACUUAUCUCCUUCAACUGGACUUGUGAUGCCAAGGGAUAAAAUGAAUUGCUGGCUAAUAUUGUGAGAAUUAAUCAGACCACAACAGCAGGAGAGUAAUGACUUACUUACAGUCAGAUAUUUGCAUUUGGCAGUAAAAUCACAACAAAAAUAUAAGGAUGUUUAAUCUUUUGCUUCGACUGGAGCACGGGAACAUGUUGGCAAUACAAAAGAAAUACAAUAAUCGUGUGUUUUAAUUUUGGGUGUUUACCUAAUCUGAGGGAUUUAUUUAUUCUAGGAAGAAAGCUCUUAUUUGAUGUGAAGAUUUUUUUUUCAUUUUGCAGCACCUUAGAUUGGUCUUGUUUCCUGAAAUUUUUUUUUUUUUUUCUGUUAGAGAUCUUUGGACAGAUGAACUGAGCCUUUUGCCCCUCAUCUCACCUUUCUCCAAAAUAUGCUGGUUCUGUUAUCUUUGUUUCCUUUCUGUCCCUUGGCCCCUUGGUAACUUAGAAGAAAGGAGUGGCACAACCAAGACCAAGGGUGGCAACGUUACUGCUGCUAUUCUGUUGAAAUGAUUUCAUGUGCUGCUUGUUCUCUUUUCUUAGAGUCUGGCAGUUUCAAAAAGUAGGAUUAGGUUCUUAGUUGCUAUGUAAACACUAAAGAAGGUAUGCAGUGAGAAAUUAUUUCCUGAUUUGAGUCUAUAAAUCAAAUGCUUUGGAGAGCAUUUCCUAUAAUCAGAAGCCACUUUCUUCAAUUUAUAUGUCUGUAUCAGUGUGUUAAUGGCAUCCAUUACUGUUUGGUUCUGGUAAGUUGUAGAAAGUUGUCCUCCUCAGUAACUGUAUGGUUUUUGGCCUUUUCUGGAUACAUGCCCAUGUGUAUGUCGUAUACAUAUGUUAGUGUGCCUGUUCACACUAAUACACAUAUUUUUUCCCUUUUCAGAAGUCGUGUAGUAUCUAAGUGGGAAAGCUAAGUAGAAAAGCACAUAAACUCAAAGAGACCUAAGUUUAAAUCUCUUUUAAAGGCUAUUUCCUGGUCAUGUUAUUCACCUCUUGGAACUUUAUUUUCCUCAUGAAUAAAAUGAGGAUUACAAACCUACCUUGCAGAGUUGUUGUGAGGAUUAGAGAUUAUAAAUGAAACGUGCCUGACACUUGCUCAACAAAUGACAGUAGCGAUUGUUCCUAUAAUCCACGGAUAAUCAGCACCUUUGGAUUUCUUGCACUUCUUGUGGGUUUCUGGUUAAAGCAAAGAAUAAAGCCUGUACAUUUGCCUGGAGCAGUCCAUGGAUCGUAGCUUUGGAAAAGUCUAAACUCCGAGUCUACCUUCAGACUGGUAGCUCUAGUCAAGGACAGGGAGCCCCCACACAAAGCAGAAUCUUGUGCAUCUUGUUUUAUAGUCUUUCUGAAGUCUAUCUUCCUAAUUUCCAGAGCAAUUUGCUUUUUCUUCUAAACUUCUCAGGGGCAGAGACUGUGUUUUAGUUUUCUUUACAUCACUAGAGCUGAUACACAGUAGGUUCUUUUUUUUUUUAAUUUUUUUUUUUUUUAGAUGGAUUCUCACUCUGUCGCCAGGCUGGAGUGCCGUGGCAUGAUCUUGGCCCACUGCAACCUCCACCUCCCAGGUUCAAGUGAUUCUCCUGCCUCAGCCUUCCAAGUAGCUGGGACUACAGGCGCGUGCCACCACACCCAGCUAAUUUUUUGUAUUUUCAGUAGAGAUGGGGUUUCACUAUGUUGGCCAGGGUGGUCUCGAUCUCUUGACCUCGUGAUCCACCUGCCUCAGCCUCCCAAAGUGCUGGGAUUACAGAUGUGAGCCAGCGGACACACAGUAGGUUCUUAGUAAAUGCUCAGUGAAAUGAAUGACUAUACUGAGUGUUUUUUUUUUUUUUAAUCCCAAACUGGCAGUGACAUCAGUACUCUUUUUCCAAGAUGCCACUCACUUCUGCUUUGCUAUUUUGCUAAGAAACUGGUUGUUUGACCUUUGAUCAGAAUUUGAUUCGGAAUAGGAUCUAGGGAUGGCAAAUGGGUUGCACCUUGUGUACCAACACUAUUGGGAGCAGAUCUCUAUUGGAUUGUCAUCCAACCUUUAGUUUGAAAGAAUGGCAGUCAGUUAGUGGUGGCUGUCACAGACCUGGGAGUGGGGAGAAAAUAUGUCACGUAUUUACUCUCCUUGAUAGAGUUACUUCUUUUACCCAUUAGAAUUUUAACCCUCUUUGAAUGUUUUCCUUGCAUUUCAUCAGCCUGGCUGGUUGGAGUGGAGGGAGAUUGAAAGGAUGAGAAUCCCUGAAUCUCAUUCUUUCCUCUAGCACUACUUGAAUGUCACUGUUGUAAAGGAUGACCCUCUUUAUUCACAAGGAGACAACACUGGCUUUAGGAUAUCUCUUACGGCCAGAGGCUGGGCAAAUGUCCUACUAUCAGGUCAGUAUCUGGUGAUGUCUGAGUGGGGAUCAAACUUCUUAAAGUCUUCUGUUGAGAGUGAAAAGGAAAUGUCCAAUGUAACAACAGACAAUGACAUCACCUUCCAUUUUGGCAAAACCUGGACUUAAUUUGGAAUCCUGAUCCAAAAUCCUUACUGAUGUUAGGGAGGUUAUUUCCUUGAGCUCCUAUCUUCAUUAAAAUGGGAAUAGAAAUAUCAGACUUAUCAUAGGCAUAGGGAAGGUACAGAAGGAAUUUCUUGUUAUAGUGUAAUUCGAACGGAUAUUAUUAUUAUUAUUUUGAGACGGAGUCUCACUCUGUUGCCCAGGCUGGAGUGCAGUGGCGUGAUCUUGGCUUACUGCAAACUCCACCUCCUGGGUUCACGCCAUUCUCCUGCCUCAGCCUCCGAAGUAGCUGGGACUACAGGUGCCCGCUACCAUGCCCGGCUAAUUUUUUGUAUUUUUUAGUAGAGACGGGGUCUCACCAUGUUAGCCAGGAUGGUCUCGAUCUCCUGACCUUGUGAUCUGCCUGCCUCGGCCUCCCAAAGUGCUGGGAUUACAGGCAUUAGCCACUGAGCCCGGCCAGGAUAUUAUUAUUAUUGAAACUAGGUUAAUCUUUUAAAAUACAAAUGAUUCAUGUUGUAAACAAUUCCAACAAUACAAACAAAUAAUAGGAAGAAGAAAUCAACUCAAAUCACACCACUCAGAAAUGAGGAGGCAUAACAUUGUGAUACGCAUCUUCCAGAAAUCUCUCUUCAGGAUAAAUCAUAAGAUACCAACAAACUUAGUGACUUAUUUUAUUCAAGUGAACAAUACAUUCAUAGAUAUCUUUCUAUGCCAGUGAAUUUUAAUUUACAUAGUAUUUCUUUUUAACUUUUCAUUAUGGAAAAUUUCAAACAUACAAAAACAUUCAAAAUAUUAUAUAAUCCCCCCAUGGAUCUAUUAUCUAAUUUUGUUUCAUCUGUAUCUCUCUUUCACUCCUCACCUCAUCACUGGAUCAUUUUUAAACAAAUCCCAGACAUUGUGUCUGUAUUAGUUUCCUAGGGCCGUCGUAACAAACUAUCACAAACAGAGUGUCUUAGAACAACCAGAAGUUUAUUCUCUCACAACCAGGAGGCCAAAAAUCUGAAAUCAAGGUUUUGAUGGGUUGGUUCUUCUGGAGGCCUUGAAGGAAAACCUGUUCCAUUCCACUCUCCUGGCUUCCUGUGAUAUUGACCAUCCUCAGUGUUUCUUGGCUUGUGGCUGCAUCUCUCCAAUCUCUGCCUCCAUCCACAUGGGCUUCUUCCCUGUGUGUGUCUGUGUGUUUCUCUGUGUCCUCUCCUUUGUUUUUAAUAAGGACACCAGUCGUUGGAUUUACAGCCCACCCUAAACCCAGGAUGAUUUCAUCUUGAGAUCCUUAAUUACAUCAGAAAAUAUCCUAUUUCCAAAGAGGAUCACAUUCUGAGGUUUCAGAUGGGGGCUCUAAGACUCAGAGAGAUGAAGAGACUUUCCCACAAAACUACUACGCGGCAGUUCCAGGAUUUGUAUCCGUUGUCGAACCCCAAAGUCCAGGUUCCUUUCACGAUCCAGGGCUCUGUCAACAGCGGUACCUUCAGCUCAGGCUUUCAUUGGGUCAUAAUGGGCUACUAUAGUUCUCCGAUGGGGGUUUUGAACAUAUCACCUGCUUUUUGAAAUUAAACAUUAUCUCUAACAUUUUUUCCUUCUUUCCUUCACUCAUUCACUUAUUCACUCAUGAAAUAUUUAUUAAACAUAUGUCAUGUGCCAGGUAAAA